AAUAAUUAAAUUUUAUAAUAAAUUGUCUCCAUGAAUACAAAUUGAAUUAAUUCGGAGCUUCCCCACGCAAAACCGCAACAUUCAUUGCUUUAAAAACACCUUAUCAAAAAAAAAUUUAAGAAAAGUAAACAUAACCUAAAAAUAACUCCAAAUUAUUUCUUAAUUGAAAUAAAAUUUAAUAAUAAACAAAUUUUAUGGAUUGGGAGCUGCAAUAGCUUUAUUUUCGUCUAGUAAAGGCCCUGGUUUAAAUAACCAUGUUGAGUUACGCCAAAAAUUUCGCUUUAAUUAAUUUGCGAGGGGCGAAAAUACCAUGAUGGAGUUAGAAGGAAUCAAAUUGCAAAAUAUAAGGCGAUUUAAGAAAGAGUGACCUUGCUGAUGAUUUUUUAAAUGGAGUGAUGAUGUUGGGAUGAUCGUGGAGUAUGACAUGGUAAUAAUUAUGCAAGUAAAUGGUCGAAAGAUACAAGAAAAACUCCUUAUUAUGCUAAUAAUCCAAAAACGAAACGGAAAUGUAUGAUUUAUCGACAAGAAGGACUAAUUUGAUCGAAUAAUAAUUAAAUUUUAUUAUAAAUCAAAAAAAGUGUCUCCAUGAAUACAAAUUGAAUUAAUUUGGAGUUUCCUCACGCAAAAACGCUACAUUUAUUGAUUUAAAACCAGCAUAUCUUAUAAAAAAAACAAAAUGGAUGAGAAACGAAAACUUUCCGAAGAAGAUUGGACCAAUUUAACAAAAGAUUUCAUUGGAAACAACACUCGAUACAGAGAUACAAUAAUAAUCCUAAAAAAAAGUAAUUUAAUCAUCAAAUGAGUGAUGAUGUUGGGAUGAUCGUGGAGGAGGAUGUGGUAAUAAUUAUAAAAGUAGACGGCUCAAAAAUAAAAGAAAAAACUCCUUAUUAUGAUAAUAAAGCAAAAAUGAAAUGUAAAUGUUACACUCGCCCCACUUGUCCGAAUAAAUGAAUUUUGUUGAAUUUA